rnacentral:rRNA from 1 species
AUUGAACGCUGGCGGAAUGCUUUACACAUGCAAGUCGAACGGCAGCACGGGUGCUUGCACCUGGUGGCGAGUGGCGAACGGGUGAGUAACAUAUCGGAACGUAUCCAAUAAUGGGGGAUAACUAAUCGAAAGGUUGGCUAAUACCGCAUACGCCCUACGGGGGAAAGCUAGGGACCUUCGGGCCUGGCGUUAAUGGAGCGGCCGAUAUCUGAUUAGCUAGUUGGUGGGGUAAUGGCCUACCAAGGCGACGAUCAGUAGCUGGUCUGAGAGGACGACCAGCCACACUGGAACUGAGACACGGUCCAGACUCCUACGGGAGGCAGCAGUGGGGAAUUUUGGACAAUGGGCGCAAGCCUGAUCCAGCCAUUCCGCGUGAGUGAAGAAGGCCUUCGGGUUGUAAGGCUCUUUCGCAAGGGAAGAAAACUUAUCCUCUAACAUAGGAUGAGGUUGACGGUACCUUGAUAAGAAGCACCGGCUAACUACGUGCCAGCCGCCGCAGUAAAAC